rnacentral:misc_RNA from 1 species
UUAAGUUCAGCGGGUAGUCCUACCUGAUUUGAGAUCAAACGUUCAAAGAGCUGUCCCCGCUUAGGAGAGACAUUUAUAAGCUCCAGCGAACCCCCAUCACUGAAGGUUAUCUGGUGGAAAACCACAAGCGCAGAUAGUUAUCACACCUGUGAUGCCACCAAACACUGGUAAGCUAAUCCAUUUGAGAGGAGCCGACCGUA